CCGACCGUCCGUCCGUCCGAGAACAACUGUGCUCGAUCUCUCCCGGCCGUCGUUUUCUCGUCCUCUCCUGUGUACACACACACGUAUAGACCGACAAGACUUCUUGUUCCUCUUCCUCCUUUCACAUCCCAGACGAAGGCUGGGGUGUGUGCGGCGAGCAGGAGACACGGACGAAGCGGAGAGAAAUGAAAGCACAAAGCAGCAAAACGCAUCAGCAUGAAUAUUAGAGAUGUCGUUAAAAUCCGGACUCGUUUUUCUCUCUCUCUCUCCCUUGCUCACUCACUCUCUCGCUCUCUCUUUAGCUCAUUGUGAAACAGGAGGUCCAGCAGAGGGUGCUAGCUGUUAUUACAUUAACUUUCACAACUUAACCCCAAAAAUACUGAAUUUCUCUACUCGCCAGGCACAAAAUGCACAACAGCAAGUGUUUAAGGAAAUAUAAAACACCUACACAUAUAUUCAACAGCUAAUGUGUGUCAAAACAGCAUUGUUUUGACCUAAACAAGUAACAUAAAUCACAAUUAUAAUUUGAAAUAUGUCAUGAUCAUAAUCAGGUUUGCACAUACACACACAUACAGAAGAGGGGGCAGGUGGCAUGAGUUCAUGUGCUGCUGCCUGGAUAGACUCACAGGAAGUGAUAACAGAUACUCAAGGGGAAAUGAGGUCGUGCCCUGACUUUCCCAAAGUGUGACACAUUGGCCAUUUGCAACUGUGCACGUGCACUGCAACAAACCUCUGGAGCCCACACAUACACAUACAGCAAAAAUUAAAACAAGUGUCUGCACUAUGAAAAAA